CCAGACUCCUACGGGAGGCAGCAGUCGAGAAUCAUUCACAAUGGGGGAAACCCUGAUGCAGCGACGCCGCGUGAGUGAAGAAGUAUUUCGGUAUGUAAAGCUCUAUCAGCAGGGAAGAAAAUGACGGUACCUGACUAAGAAGCCCCGGCUAACUACGUGCCAGCAGCCGCGGUAAUACGUAGGGGGCAAGCGUUAUCCGGAUUCACUGGGUGUAAAGGGAACGCAGGCGGUACGGCGAGUCUGAUGUGAAAACCCGGGGCCCAACCCCGGGACCGCACCGGAUACUGCCGGACUCGAGUGCCGGAGGGGCAGGCGGAAUUCCUGGUGUAGCGGUGAAAUGCGCAGAUAUCAGGAGGAACACCAGUGGCGAAGGCGGCCUGUUGGACGAUGACUGACGUUGAGGCUCGAAAGCGUGGGGAGCAAACAGGAUUAGAUACCCUAGUAC
rnacentral:rRNA from 1 species